GUAACGCUUCAAUGUAUGACUCGAGUUAGCGCGGGUUAGUCUCACGUGACAAUAAAGACCACUGAGAUCUGGAGAUCUGAUAUUACACCUCAUCCUUAAUUCACGUAUCCUCCUACACACUAAAGAGUGCGAUAGAUAUUUCCCGCACUGUGAGACCGUGGACAUUUGGCUCAGCUGCGUGAACAAUACUCCAAACAAUGAACCUCCGAACUGAGACACUGGAUCUGUAACUCUCAGCAGCCUUAGUCCUGCUCGCCUCGCCACUGCCGCGUGGUUACGUCAAAACAGCGGGCGGCCGCGUACUAGUUUCCUCAGUACUUGUGCGUCCGUAGCAAUACCGUGUGCUGUAAACAUCUGAACGAACUGAGAUACUCAUUCAGUUUUUUCCGCCUCUCCAUUAUCUCGUGGUGACGUAAAGGUGACGGCCCGUGUGUUAGUUUCCCCGGUAAUUGUGCCUCCGUAACAUUACUGUGUGCAGUGGUCGUGAGAACUGCGAGGCGGCGGUGCAGACUGUGCCCUGGAGAGUCGCAGGGUGUUGGAAUCGCCUCUCAGUCACCUUGAAGGCGUCAUAUUCCCUCCCUGCUCUUCCCCGUGUCUUCCUGUCGAUGUUGCCUCGGCCGCGGACAGCCCCGUGAUGGUCAGCCCUCCAAGUGUGCUCGUCUUAGCAAGGCCUUCCUCUCCCAGACGACCAAAACGGCAAGUUCAUGACCCGGUGCUGCCUCUUCUGCAUGCUGUGGCUGGUGACAGACUACAUGCACGUCUACUCGCUUUGGAUCUUCGACUGCACUGACGUCAUGGCUCUCUACUCUGCCCACGUCUCCUUCGUGUUCCUCCUCUCGUGGGUGAUCCUGCAUGACCAGUUUGUCGGCGUCAGGGUGAGUAGACUGACUGGGCGGGAGGGUGUUGAUGGGCGUCUGUGGUAUGUGAUGUGGUCUGUGCUGCUGCUGUGUUGUGUAUGGAAACUGUUGGUCUUGGUCUUCUCCGUGAGCUGGAGUGACUGUUGUUGGUGUAUCAUGUCUUGAUCACUACUGUUGCUCUUUUCUUUAUGUAUGUGUUU